GAUGAACGCUAGCUACAGGCUUAACACAUGCAAGUCGAGGGACCGGCGCACGGGUGAGUAACACGUAUCCAACCUGCUCUUUACUCGGGGAUAGCCUUUCGCAAGAACAAUUAAUACCCGAUAUAAAGGAUGGGGAUGCGUUACAUUAGGGUGUUGGUGAGGUAACGGCCCACCAAGCCUUCGAUGGAUAGGGGUUCGGAGAGGAAGGUCCCCCAGAUUGGAACUGAGACAAGGUCCAAACGCGUACGGGAGGAAGGAGUGAGGAAUAUUGGGCAAUGGGCGUUAGCCUGAACCAGCCAAGUAGCGUGAAGGAUGAAGGCUUAUGGGUCGUAAACUUCUUUUAUAUAAGAAUAUGUAUUAUAUGAAUAAGGAUCGGCUAACUCCGUGCCAGCAGCCGCGGUAAUUC
rnacentral:rRNA from 1 species